rnacentral:rRNA from 1 species
UGGGGAAUAUUGGACAAUGGGCGCAAGCCUGAUCCAGCCAUGCCGCGUGGAUGAAGAAGGCCCUAGGGUUGUAAAGUCCUUUCGUUGGUGAAGAUAAUGACGGUAACCAAAGAAGAAGCCCCGGCUAAUUUCGUGCCAGCAGCCGCGGUAAUACGAAAGGGGCUAGCGUUGUUCGGAAUUACUGGGCGUAAAGCGCACGUAGGCGGCCUUGUAAGUUGGGGGUGAAAUCCCGGAGCUCAACUCCGGAACUGCCUCCAAAACUACAAAGCUAGAGGAUGCGAGAGGAUAGUGGAAUUCCGAGUGUAGAGGUGAAAUUCGUAGAUAUUCGGAAGAACACCAGUGGCGAAGGCGACUGUCUGGCGCAUAUCUGACGCUGAGGUGCGAAAGCGUGGGGAGCAAACAGGAUUAGAUACCCCCGUAGUCC